rnacentral:rRNA from 1 species
GAUGAACGCUGGCGGCGUGCCUAAUACAUGCAAGUCGAGCGAACAGACGAGGAGCUUGCUCCUCUGACGUUAGCGGCGGACGGGUGAGUAACACGUGGAUAACCUACCUAUAAGACUGGGAUAACUUCGGGAAACCGGAGCUAAUACCGGAUAAUAUAUUGAACCGCAUGGUUCAAUAGUGAAAGACGGUUUUGCUGUCACUUAUAGAUGGAUCCGCGCCGCAUUAGCUAGUUGGUAAGGUAACGGCUUACCAAGGCGACGAUGCGUAGCCGACCUGAGAGGGUGAUCGGCCACACUGGAACUGAGACACGGUCCAGACUCCUACGGGAGGCAGCAGUAGGGAAUCUUCCGCAAUGGGCGAAAGCUUGACGGAGCAACGCCGCGUGAGUGAUGAAGGUCUUCGGAUCGUAAAACUCUGUUAUUAGGGAAGAACAAAUGUGUAAGUAACUAUGCACGUCUUGACGGUACCUAAUCAGAAAACCACGGCUAACUACGU